AGAACGAACGCUGGCGGCAUGCCUAACACAUGCAAGUCGAACGAGACCUUCGGGUCUAGUGGCGCACGGGUGCGUAACGCGUGGGAAUCUGCCCUUGGGUUCGGAAUAACAGCGAGAAAUUGCUGCUAAUACCGGAUGAUGACGUAAGUCCAAAGAUUUAUCGCCCAAGGAUGAGCCCGCGUAGGAUUAGCUUGUUGGUGAGGUAAGAGCUCACCGAAGGCGACGAUCCUUAGCUGGUCUGAGAGGAUGAUCAGCCACACUGGGACUGAGACACCGGCCCAGACUCCGUA
rnacentral:rRNA from 1 species